GGAGAGGUGGCUGAGUGGUCGAAAGCGGCACCCUGCUAAGGUGUUAGACGGGUAACUGUCUCGAGGGUUCGAAUCCCUCUCUCUCCGCCA
rnacentral:tRNA from 2 species